rnacentral:rRNA from 1 species
GACGUAGGAUGCAAGCGUUGUCCGGAAUUAUUGGGCGUAAAGAGUUCGUAGGCGGUUGCCUAAGUCUGAUGUUAAAUACUAGAGCUCAACUCUGGCAUGGCAUUGGAAACUGGGCAGCUAGAGUGCGGUAGAGGUCUCGGGAAUUCCAGGUGUAGCGGUUGAAAUGCGUAGAUAUCUGGAGGAACACCGGUGGCGAAAGG